rnacentral:rRNA from 1 species
UUCGCCCUUAGAGUUUGAUCCUGGCUCAGGACGAACGCUGGCGGCACGCUUAACACAUGCAAGUCGAACGAGAGAAGAGAAGCUUGCUUUUCUGAUCUAGUGGCGGACGGGUGAGUAACACGUGAGCAAUCUGCCUUUCAGAGGGGGAUACCGAUUGGAAACGAUCGUUAAUACCGCAUAAUAUAAUUGAACCGCAUGAUUUGAUUAUCAAAGAUUUAUCGCUGAAAGAUGAGCUCGCGUCUGAUUAGCUAGUUGGUAAGGUAACGGCUUACCAAGGCGACGAUCAGUAGCCGGACUGAGAGGUUGAUCGGCCACAUUGGGACUGAGACACGGCCCAGACUCCUACGGGAGGCAGCAGUGGGGAAUAUUGCACAAUGGAGGAAACUCUGAUGCAGCGAUGCCGCGUGAGGGAAGAAGGUUUUAGGAUUGUAAACCUCUGUCUUCAGGGACGAAAAAAGACGGUACCUGAGGAGGAAGCUCCGGCUAACUACGUGCCAGCAGCCGCGGUAAUACGUAGGGAGCGAGCGUUGUCCGGAAUUACUGGGUGUAAAGGGAGCGUAGGCGGGAUCGCAAGUCAGAUGUGAAAACUAUGGGCUUAACCCAUAAACUGCAUUUGAAACUGUGGUUCUUGAGUGAAGUAGAGGUAAGCGGAAUUCCUAGUGUAGUGGUGAAAUGCGUAGAUAUUAGGAGGAACAUCAGUGGCGAAGGCGGCUUACUGGGCUUUAACUGACGCUGAGGCUCGAAAGCGUGGGGAGCAAACAGGAUUAGAUACCCUGGUAGUCCACGCCGUAAACGAUGAUUACUAGGUGUGGGGGGACUGACCCCUUCCGUGCCGCAGCAAACGCAAUAAGUAAUCCACCUGGGGAGUACGACCGCAAGGUUGAAACUCAAAGGAAUUGACGGGGGCCCGCACAAGCAGUGGAGUAUGUGGAUUAAUUCGAAGCAACGCGAAGAACCUUACCAGGUCUUGACAUCGUAUGCAUAGCUCAGAGAUGAGUGAAAUCUCUUCGGAGACAUAUAGACAGGUGGUGCAUGGUUGUCGUCAGCUCGUGUCGUGAGAUGUUGGGUUAAGUCCCGCAACGAGCGCAACCCUUACUGUUAGUUGCUACGCAAGAGCACUCUAGCAGGACUGCCGUUGACAAAACGGAGGAAGGUGGGGAUGACGUCAAAUCAUCAUGCCCCUUAUGACCUGGGCCUCACACGUACUACAAUGGCUGUUAACAGAGGCAUGCAAGGCCGCGAGGUGGAGCGAACCCCUAAAAGCAGUCUUAGUUCGGAUUGUAGGCUGCAACCCGCCUACAUGAAGUCGGAAUUGCUAGUAAUCGCAGAUCAGCAUGCUGCGGUGAAUACGAACCCGGGCCUUGCACACACCGCCCGUCA